rnacentral:rRNA from 1 species
UCGGGAAUUUUGGGCAAUGGGCGAAAGCCUGACCCAGCAACGCCGCGUGAAGGAUGAAGUAUUUCGGUAUGUAAACUUCGAAAGAAUAGGAAGAAUAAAUGACGGUACUAUUUAUAAGGUCCGGCUAACUACGUGCCAGCAGCCGCGGUAAUACGUAGGGACCAAGCGUUGUUCGGAUUUACUGGGCGUAAAGGGCGCGUAGGCGGCAAUUCAAGUCAUCUGUGAAAUCUCCGGGCUUAACUCGGAACGGUCAGAUGAUACUGCUUUGCUAGAGUGCAGAAGGGGCAAUCGGAAUUCUUGGUGUAGCGGUGAAAUGCGUAGAUAUCAAGAGGAACACCUGAGGUGAAGACGGGUUGCUGGGCUGACACUGACGCUGAGGCGCGAAAGCCAGGGGAGCAAACGGGAUUAGAUACCCUUGUAGUCCCUGAGCGGGCUGGCAAGGCG